UAAUACGAAGGGGGCUAGCGUUGUUCGGAAUUACUGGGCGUAAAGCGCGCGUAGGCGGUGAUCCAUGUCAGAGGUGAAAGCCUGGAGCUCAACUCCAGAAUUGCCUUUGAAACGGGAUCGCUAGAGUCCGAGAGAGGAUGGCGGAAUUCCUAGUGUAGAGGUGAAAUUCGUAGAUAUUAGGAAGAACACCGGUGGCGAAGGCGGCCAUCUGGCUCGGUACUGACGCUCAGGCGCGAAAGCGUGGGGAGCAAACAGG
rnacentral:rRNA from 1 species